rnacentral:rRNA from 1 species
UACGAAGGGGGCUAGCGUUGCUCGGAAUCACUGGGCGUAAAGCGCACGUAGGCGGGUCUUUAAGUCAGGGGUGAAAUCCUGGAGCUCAACUCCAGAACUGCCUUUGAUACUGAGGAUCUCGAGUCCGGGAGAGGUGAGUGGAACUGCGAGUGUAGAGGUGAAAUUCGUAGAUAUUCGCAAGAACACCAGUGGCGAAGGCGGCUCACUGGCCCGGUACUGACGCUGAGGCACGAAAGCGUGGGGAGCGAACAGG